UUUUAAUAUAUUUUUAUUAUUCUUUUCUAAUCUAGAAGGUCCGAAUUUUCGGGGAGGGGCCAUUCAAUUAGAUGGACCCCAGUGCGCAACUGGUACUUAAUUUAUCGACCUUGAAAGGAUGAAAAGCAAGGUCGACCUCAUCGGAAUUUGAACUCAGAACAUAAAGACAGACGAAAUACCGCUAA